GUGGGGAAUAUUGGACAAUGGGCGAAAGCCUGAUCCAGCCAUGCCGCGUGUGUGAAGAAGGUCUUCGGAUUGUAAAGCACUUUAAGUUGGGAGGAAGGGCAGUAAGUUAAUACCUUGCUGUUUUGACGUUACCGACAGAAUAAGCACCGGCUAACUCCGUGCCAGCAGCCGCGGUAAUACGGAGGGUGCGAGCGUUAUCCGGAUUUACUGUGUUUAAAGGGUGCGCAGGCGGUCUUAUAAGUCCGGGGUGAAAUACUACAGUUCAACUGUAGAACUGCCUUGGAUACUAUAGGACUUGAAUCGAGUAUAGGUCAGCGGAAUACAACAUGUAGCGGUGAAAUGCAUAGAUAUGUUGUGGAACACCGAUUGCGAAGGCAGCUGACUGGGCUUGAAUUGACGCUCAGGCACGAAAGCGUGGGUAGCGAACAGGAUUAGAUACCCGAGUAGUCC
rnacentral:rRNA from 1 species